AGAUUGAACGCUGGCGGCAGGCCUAACACAUGCAAGUCGAGCGGCAGCACGGGUACUUGUACCUGGUGGCGAGCGGCGGACGGGUGAGUAAUGCCUAGGAAUCUGCCUGAUAGGUGGGGGAUAACGCUCGGAAACGGACGCUAAUACCGCAUACGUCCUACGGGAGAAAGCAGGGGACCUUCGGGCCUUGCGCUAUCAGAUGAGCCUAGGUCGGAUUAGCUAGGUUGGUGGGGUAAUGGCUCGACCAAGGCGACGAUCCGUAACUGGUCUGAGAGGAUGAUCAGUCACACUGGAACUGACGACACGGUCCAGACCU
rnacentral:rRNA from 1 species